rnacentral:rRNA from 1 species
GACGAACGCUGGCGGCGUGCCUAAUACAUGCAAGUAGAACGCACAGUUUAUACCGUAGCUUGCUACACCAUAGACUGUGAGUUGCGAACGGGUGAGUAACGCGUAGGUAACCUGCCUGGUAGCGGGGGAUAACUAUUGGAAACGAUAGCUAAUACCGCAUAAUAUUAAUUAUUGCAUGAUAAUUAAUUGAAAGGUGCAAUUGCACCACUACCAGAUGGACCUGCGUUGUAUUAGCUAGUAGGUGAGGUAACGGCUCACCUAGGCGACGAUACAUAGCCGACCUGAGAGGGUGAUCGGCCACACUGGGACUGAGACACGGCCCAGACUCCUACGGGAGGCAGCAGUAGGGAAUCUUCGGCAAGGGACGAAAGUCUGACCGAGCGACGCCGCGUGAGUGAAGAAGGUUUUCGGAUCGUAAAGCUCUGUUGUAAGAGAAGAACGGGUGUGAGAGUGGAAAGUUCACACUGUGACGGUAUCUUACCAGAAAGGGACGGCUAACUACGUG